rnacentral:tRNA from 1 species
UCUGAGCUAAGUGGGC